AUUAGUUAUGCUCUGCAAUGGGAUGGGAUCCGAAGCCCCUUGAGGGAUAAUACAGGCUCUCCCAUGCAACUCCUAUUCCGACACGUUCUCAUCGUGCUGAGUGGUAACGUGUGCCACCAUAUAGCCAUUAGAUACACGGGCUUGACCCAACCCCUUAGGCGGAUGGUGGCGACCAGGAGGAGGGAGGG
rnacentral:ribozyme from 1 species